GCAAGGUUGGUCUCACGUUAUUUGGCGGGGAAGUGCUAUGACAACAGGCGACAAAGGUGUGGGUCCCAACGUCGACUUGCCGGCACAGUGCCGACUUCGCGACACGGUUUCGACUUUACAUCACAGUAACAAGAAAAUCUGGAUCCUUCCACGAGCAAGUUUCUAGUCUUACUCCGCUGACACAAGCGGCCUGAACAUCCCCGAGCUUACCCAUUCCCGCACAGUAGGGACUCGAGUCUAAUCGAGCUUCUGACCUGUCAUGUCACCACGUAUGUACAUGAUGGCAAUUUUGUCCUCGCCAGCCACCCUGGCUGUUUUUACUUUUCUUUUGUGCAACCUGCAUAACUGCUAUUCCGGGAGUUGGGCAAUGGCGGCAGAACGUUUGGAGACAGUAUCGGGUAUCGGCAGCGGGAGCGAUGGCCGCCAUGCAGCAUCGGCGGUCCCACGCUCAGCCAUCCUGGCCGAAGCGGAACAGCAACAUACGCUAGUUCCUGUUCACCUAAGGAGAUCAAAGAGAACUAGUCUCACGAAGAGAAGCACAGCGUUGUCACGUCGUACAAAGACGAUGAUCGCGGCCAAAGUAGUCCUUUCCCUGGUAGCUAUCUUGGGACUGCUGGUGGCUUCUGUCAAGCUACAGCAAUGUCGGCGAAGUUUGCCAGAAUCCCCUAGCAGGGAAGCUGAAGGAAUCACAGGAAGGCGGCUUGCAGAAGGCGGCGGUGACGAC
rnacentral:lncRNA from 1 species